rnacentral:rRNA from 1 species
UACAGAGGUCUCAAGCGUUGUUCGGAUUCAUUGGGCGUAAAGGGUGCGUAGGCGGCGCGGUAAGUCGGGUGUGAAAUCUCGGAGCUUAACUCCGAAACUGCAUUCGAUACUGCCGCGCUUGAGGACUGGAGAGGAGACUGGAAUUUACGGUGUAGCGGUGAAAUGCGUAGAUAUCGUAAGGAAGACCAGUGGCGAAGGCGGGUCUCUGGACAGUGACUGACGCUGAGAUGCGAAAGCGUGGGGAGCAAACAGG